rnacentral:snoRNA from 1 species
GGAGACGUGAUGUGUCAGUGAAAUCUGUCAAUCCUCUGAAACCUCCUGAACGACACACCCGUCACUGCUGAUCUC